AUCACUGAUCCAUUCUGUUGUCACUCUCUGUAGUUUGUAUCUCUCUGCGAAGUUGUAUCUCUCUACUGGGCUGUAACUCUAUUUGCGAAGCUGUAUCUCGCUAAUUUUCCUUGUGUUUCUCUUCGAUUAUCAAAGACUAGAGGCUGUAUCAGAAUUUCAGAUACCAGAGGCUCUGUAUUUCGUCGAUCAUCUCGUUAACAUCAUUGAUUUCGUCGAAGCUGUUUUGCUUGUUUGAAAAUCAAAAUUUCAGCAUGAUUUCGACGGAUUUGAUAAAAAUUAGUGAUAAUCAAGACCUCAUGGGAUGGAACGACUCCACAGACGAGUGCCAGCAGUAAGGCCAUUCCUUUGGUUGCAGAUGGUCCUUCUGCUGCAACUGCACCUUCAGUUAUUCCUGAAAUGACACACACAACAGUUCCUUUGAAGUGUAACUGGACAGAACAUACCUCUCCCGAAGGAUUCAAAUACUACUACAACAGUACAACUGGUGAAAGCAAAGUUUUCUUGCUAUCUGAAGAAAAAUGAAUCAUCACAUGAUACACCACAAUUGCAACAGCCCUCUCAAUCUUCUUCACAUCAGGCUCCUGGAUAUGCAGGUCACCAACGUACUCAGGUAUGUCACUGUUUUUAUAUAUUUAUAACUGAAAUAAUAUGCAAAGUUGGUAAAAACUGUUUGCAGACUCGCAGUGCAUCACAAAAGCGGCAAUUUUUUUUUAAUUCGUUUAGUGAAUUGGAUUUCAAAGUUGCAAAGAAUCACCAGUUUUACUUUAUUCAAUGAUGUUAUGUUUAAUAUAUAUUUCUGUGAAACAUUUCAUCCCCUAGUUCUUAUAUAUUAGUGUCAUGUUAAUAUGAAACUGCUCUUCUCCUUUUUAUGC